GAGCAGAAAAACAUCUUUCUGAAUAUAGCAGAAUAGAAAUCUGCUUCAGUCCACUGGAAGAAUCUACUGGAAAUACCUGACUUCUUGGGUCUAAGCACAGAAUGCCAACCCUGCUGAGUUAUUUAGAAGGAGCAAGAAGCAAUUUUUCCCAUCACAAAGUGAAAGCAGAACCUGAAGAUUGGUUCCAUGGUCACGCACACCUAAAGAACACCAACAGAAGGCUUUUCUGUGGAUUUCAAGCUCCCUCUCUCUCUGUCCUCCUCCCUCCCCUUCUAGGAGGCGUCACAAUCGUGCCAGGACAUUAUCAGAAUUGAAUCAGGUGAAGUUCAUUGCUGGGGAGCAAAAAGAAGAAGGUCAGAAGUAAAAUAAAGAUCAUCCUUGUUACUUCAA